rnacentral:rRNA from 1 species
GCAAAAUGCGGGACGCGAGCGGGGGUAAUACGGAGGUGGCAAGGGUUAAUCGGAAUUACCGGGCGUAAAGCGUGCGCAGGCGGCUUAUUAAGUCAGAUGUGAAAUCCCUAGGCUCAACCUAGGAACUGCAUUUGAAACUAAUAAACUAGAGUAUCGUAGAGGGAGGUAGAAUUCCAGGUGUAGCGGUGAAAUGCGUAGAUAUCUGGAGGAAUACCAGUGGCGAAGGCGACCUCCUGGACGAAAACUGACGCUCAAGCACGAAAGCAUGGGGAGCAAACAGGAUUAGAUACCCGAGUAGUC